GCCCUGGACCAAGUAACUGCUGCAGCGGGGGAUUUCUUCGGUAGGGGCUUGAGCACUGCAACCUCUCUCUAGGUUAGGACCUCGUCGCUUGGAAAGCAUACUGCCUUGCGGUUAGGACUCGUCAAGUAAAUCUCCAGGUAGAGGACGAGGCAAGGGCAAGGGCAAGCUGGCGAGCGACCCGAAGUGACCGUGGAGGGCCAUAGGGGCUACUGCUUCCGCUUAUCCUUAUUUUAGACUUUCGUAUUUGAGUUUGAGUAUUUUUCAUUACUUAUCAUCUUUUUAUGUAGAUAGGGCCCGAGUAGGACUUUAGAACG